GACGAACGCUGGCGGCGUGCUUAACACAUGCAAGUCGAACGCUGAAGCUUGGUGCUUGCACUGGGUGGAUGAGUGGCGAACGGGUGAGUAAUACGUGAGUAACCUGCCCUUGACUCUGGGAUAAGCCUGGGAAACUGGGUCUAAUACUGGAUACGACAUGUCACCGCAUGGUGGUAUGUGGAAAGGGUUUUACUGGUUUUGGAUGGGCUCACGGCCUAUCAGCUUGUUGGUGGGGUAAUGGCUCACCAAGGCGACGACGGGUAGCCGGCCUGAGAGGGUGACCGGCCACACUGGGACUGAGACACGGCCCAGACUCCUACGGGAGGCAGCAGUGGGGAAUAUUGCACAAUGGGCGGAAGCCUGAUGCAGCGACGCCGCGUGAGGGAUGACGGCCUUCGGGUUGUAAACCUCUUUCAGCACGGAAGAAGCGAAAGUGACGGUACGUGCAGAAGAAGCGCCGGCUAACUACGUG
rnacentral:rRNA from 1 species